GGUCGGAUGGUCUAAACGUGGUCAGGACGUUUAGCUUCGUAAGCUGAAGACGCGGGUUCGAUUCCCGCUUCGGCCA